UACGAAGGGUGCAAGCGUUACUCGGAAUUACUGGGCGUAAAGCGUGCGCAGGCGGUUUGUUAAGUCUGUUGUGAAAUCCCCGAGCUCAACUUGGGAAUUGCAAUGGAUACUGGCAGGCUGGAGUAUGGUAGAGGAAGGUGGAAUUCCCGGUGUAGCAGUGAAAUGCGUAGAGAUCGGGAGGAACACAAGUGGCGAAGGCGGCCUUCUGGACCAAUACUGACGCUCAUGCACGAAAGCGUGGGGAGCAAACAGG
rnacentral:rRNA from 1 species